GCUUCAGCACUUUCUACCGCUCUCCACCUUUCACGGGAGCGCUUGGACUUGCUCGGUCAUACACCUUGGCGCAAACUACAGGCAAUUUGGGCCAUGGUGGCUUUUUUCCUGGAGUGGCUGUAGGAGAAACACUGCCGCCCCCCCCCUCAAAUGCAAGCAGAAGCAAGAGAGUUGAAGGUGACCUGUGGCUGGGCCAGGGGCUGCAACACAGGACAUGGGAGCUGCCUCUCACUCCCGCUCGUGUCUUGUGUUGCAGCCAGUGGAACUGCUGCGCUGUGCUCAUCGGAAGGACGCCCCCAACACUGUGCUGAGCUCCAGUUUUCAUUACAUUCAGCUAUUUCAAUACUAGUCUUUCUGUAAUGUACAGUCAUGUGGUUAGCCUGUAAAGCAAUGUGCGUACGUCUGAAUAAAAGGCUUACAAGUUUGCAAAA